GUCCGCAGCUCUGCCCCACCUCACAUCUGCGCCCGCAAUCCACGCCUCCGUCGCCGCAGCCCUUCCUCCACGCAGCGUCCGUCCAUCCAUGGCUCUCCCUACACGCAGCGUCGUGCCGCUUUCCGCAAUCCGUGCCUUAAUCCCCUUCCUUCGCGCAGCACCCUUCCAUCCAUGGCUCGCUUCCAGAAAUCCCCCUACCUACGGCGCAGCGUCGCAGUCCGGAAUCCACCCCCAAAAUCACUACCCACUCUGCGGCGAUGGAAGGGAAUCGAAACGCGUGCUUCCCCCUUCCAUCCUCGGCGUUGCGCGGAUUGCAUGGCCAUCGUUUCGCGCCCCCAAUCCGUCGAUGCAAGGAACACGUGCUUCCCCCUUCCAUCCUCGACGCUGCGCGAAUUGCAGAUUGCGAAUUGCAUGGUCAUCGUUUCGCCCCAGUUCAUUGCCCGCAUCAGAUGGAAGGGCGCCCCGAUCUGCCUCACCUCCAUCAAUGAGGUGUCUGCCUUUCUUGCAUGGAGACGCCAAAGAGAAGGAACCAGUCACUAAGUCGGCCUCUGUACGGUCCAUGAACACACAUCAACGGAGCGUGAUGUCCGCUCCGGUUCAGACUUCACCUCCUUGAAUGUUUCCGACAUGAGCGCCGAGUCGAUAAGGAGGACACAGUACCCCAGCUUCACUGACCGCCCAUCUAACCUGAGGGUGUUCUCCUUUGCUGAAUUGAAGAGUGCCACCCGCAACUUCCGCCGGUCUCUCAUGGUUGGCUAGGGUGGCUUUGGCUGUGUGUACAGGGGUGUCAUCAAGACCUCCGACGAUCUGAACGAACGAAUCGAGAUCGCUGUUAAGCAGUUGAAUCGUAAAGGACUUCAGGGAAGAGACGACGACAUGGAUGUAGAUUCCAUUCUUUGUGUGAGCACUACCGCCAUAUAGUUGACAACGAUGACCGACACUGUAGAUUCCAUUCUUUGUGUGUACACCAAGGUAUCGGUGUCUACGUUGAUCUGGCGAUGCGCUUUUCACGGUUACUGCGACCGUGAUGGGCAUCUAGGUGCUCAAACCAUUAGUUGGACUGAGGAACACGGAGCAGCAGCAACAAUAUCGUAAGGAGAGUGCAGAAGUUGGACAAAUGGUAUGCCAUAUCUUCAGUUCUCUUAUGAUGCUUCAGCGCUACAUCUUCAGUUUUCUCGGCUAAAAAGAGAUCAUAGUCAAUAGUAUACCUAUGUGUGAAAGCGCUAUGCUAUUUGCUUGUUUGCUGGGAGAAAGAAAAGAUAGAUGAAGGUAAUUAUACAAUUUCUAAUACAUUGUUCAGCUUUUGUUAUUUCUGCCAUAUGAUACACACUGGUCAUGAGGACAUGUCGAUUGUAGUUCACUGGUAUUGUUUUUUUAAAGGAAGCGGCAAAAGACUUGCCUCUUCAUUGUAUUAGAUUAGGAAAAAUAAGAUAAUCCACAGGACCGAAACACACACCGGAAGAGAAAAAAAAACAAAAUCAAAAUACAAAAAAAGUUCACUGGUAUUGUAAGCUUUGCAGAUAAGAGCACAACUUUUUCCCUCUUUUCUAAAAGGGAAGCUCAUGUUCAUUUCAGCAAUUCAGCUUCAACCAUUUGGCAUUCAUGUAAUAUUUCACAGGAGUUAAAGUGCACAUACCUAAUCAAGUCUGUGGGUCUCCAAUUCUGAAAUAGAAAGAUAAUUUAUGUUCUCAUCUUUCUGAAAUGAACAAGAUGACUGGCUUCUGGGUUAAGGUUUUUUAUAGAGCACCAUGACUUAUCAGUUUUGUGAACAACCCUAACUUAUGUGGUCCUGACACCACAAAACCUUGUCCUGAUGCUCCUCCCUUUUCUCCACCUCCUCCAUACAACCCUACAACCCCGAUGCAAUCACCAGGAAGUAGCUCUUCCACUACUGGAGCAAUUGCUGGUGGAGUGGUUGCUGGCGCAGCCUUGCUAUUUGCUGUUCCUGCUAUCAGUUUUGCCUAUUGGCGGCACAGGAAACCACAAGAGCAUUUUUUCAAUGUAUAUGGCUUCAAAGUUAGUCUUUGAUUAUUAUCUUUCUUGCAACAUAAGGGCAAACAACGUUUAUAUGUAGCAAACAAAUACAGUUUGCAAACGUUUUAGGAACAUGUUUUUACAAU